rnacentral:rRNA from 1 species
CCUACGGGUGGCAGCAGUGGGGAAUAUUGCGCAAUGGGCGAAAGCCUGACGCAGCGACGCCGCGUGAGGGAUGAAGGUCUUCGGAUCGUAAACCUCUGUCAGCAGGGAAGAACGGUCACUGUGCUAAUCAGCAGUGAAUUGACGGUACCUGCAAAGGAAGCACCGGCUAACUCCGUGCCAGCAGCCGCGGUAAUACGGAGGAUGCGAGCGUUAUCCGGAUUUAUUGGGUUUAAAGGGUGCGUAGGCGGGCUUUUAAGUCAGCGGUAAAAAUUCGGGGCUCAACCCCGUCCGGCCGUUGAAACUGGGGGCCUUGAGUGGGCGAGAAGAAGGCGGAAUGCGUGGUGUAGCGGUGAAAUGCAUAGAUAUCACGCAGAACCCCGAUUGCGAAGGCAGCCUUCCGGCGCCCUACUGACGCUGAGGCACGAAAGUGCGGGGAUCGAACAGGAUUAGAUACCCCAGUAGUC